UACGUAGGGGGCAAGCGUUGUCCGGAUUUAUUGGGCGUAAAGAGCGUGUAGGCGGCCUUACAGGUCAGCUGUGAAAACUCGAGGCUCAACCUCGAGACGUCGGUUGAAACCGUAAGGCUAGAGUCCGGAAGAGGAGAGUGGAAUUCCCGGUGUAGCGGUGAAAUGCGCAGAUAUCGGGAAGAACACCCGUGGCGAAGGCGGCUCUCUGGGACGGUACUGACGCUGAGGAGCGAAAAGCGUGGGGAGCAAACAGG
rnacentral:rRNA from 1 species